rnacentral:lncRNA from 1 species
AUCUGACCCCAGGGUAUGCCAGAUCCGCCACAAAUACAGGGAAUCCACUGUUCACACGGACAGAGUCUCCCCUGUAUUUGCACGGCGUCGCACAAGUACAAGAGUAUAGCCAGAAAACAACCACAACCAAAUGAAUAUAAAGAUAACUAUACAUUCAUACACUCACCAUUCACAUCACAGUUUUACAUUCAGUGUUUAAAUAGAAAUUCACGAAAAUUCUUUUGAAAACUGUUCCCUACACGGAAACCUUUAUUCUUUAAGAAACGCUACCACGAGGGGUAGAAAACCUUUUAUUUCAAGAAAACACAAUUCCUUUAUUAACAUUCCAAAACCAACUGAAAACUCAGAUAUUCAAAUAAUAAAACAAAACUGAACCAUGUAAACCGACUAAGCUAUAUAUAUCCACAGAAAUAAAAAGGGUAAUAGCUAAAUCGAAAUAACCUGAGUCGGAAGCUCUAUCGACCGCUACACACGUACCUCACGAUCCGUCCGACUACUCAACGCCCGCGAUACCUGAAAAAUGGUGGGGGAGGUGAGAACAUGUAAACAUGUCUCCCCUCCCAGUGGGUACGCAAGCCGAAGAAGGCGAGGAGUACUCACCGGAUCAGGAGAACUAUACAACAACAUGGCUCAGUGGAAAUAAACAAGGUAAUGAGCAGAUAUACAAUAGCGAUAAACUGAAAGGAAGUAAGAACUAUACUGAAUAAACGGCUACCGCUACUGUAACUGGAACAGAAAGCAUACAUGAAUAUCUACUAUAGUAGCAAGACAACUAUAAAGUAAGAUCUGUAAGUAUGCAUGCAAUGACUGCUACUAUAGACAUAUGCGUCAACCGGUCAAGAAGUCCAAAAGUACCCAAUCUGAAACCAAUGCUCUCUUGGUCAGCACCGCAGACCUCAAGCCAAUGCCCUGGAGGUCCGCACCGCAACACCUCCCGACAGUACCAUUGCCGCUCUAAUAUGCAUAUAACCCCUCUAGGGCUCACGGGUUGUCACCAUUCAACCACUUUUCCGGAAAAGAACACUCCUUGCGGUGGAUCAGAUCGCCAGUGUUCGUGAAAUGCGACGAGUAUCGGGCAAUCAAUGCAAUAUGCUCAAUAAUCAACCGUCGGCAACCAACCGACAAUCCUGCCCCCCAGGGCCCAUCGACCGCAUGGGUCAUCAUGUAAACAAAUCGACCAACCAGGUCGUAAGUAAAGGGGUAUGAAACUCGACCAACCAGGUCACCAGUACAGGAUAUGAAACUCGACCAACAAUGUCACAAGUAUAAGAUAUGAACUACCGCCGGCCACUAGCCAACAAUCUAACCCCUCAGGGUACACUAACCUCAACGGUCAUCGGACAACAGAAGUCAAAGGAUCAACCAACCAGGUCACUGAUACGAAGUACAAGAAACCACUAACCAGGUCACAAGUGUAGGAGAUGCAACGACGACCAACCAGGUCAUGAAGAUUAUAUACAGAUAAAGUCUACUCUACUCUUACACAUGAUACUACACCUGGCAACAACUAAGUAGAGUAAUAAGGAAACAGUAUGGGUGCAAGGCUCAACAUAUAUAUGGUAAAAGAUAUAAACAACAAGGGUAAAGGAAACGUCACCGAGCGUGCACCACUGUACCGACGUCGGAUCGAAGUACCCACCUGUACAACUGUCGCGCCUGACUCCUAACUGCAAAAGAACGUCAACGGGACCUAGGGAGGGUCCACUGGGUUAGUGUCUAACCCACAACUAAGAAACCCUAAAAGCAUAAUCCCAUAAAUAAACCACUGAAUACACAACCCACAGACAAUCCCACGGAGAUCGGUUUCCCAAUACCGAUUACCGUAACUCGCCGGAAGUCCCGAAAACCACACCGCGACGCCGUCGGGACCCACUAAGUGUCCCGAAACUCACCGACUCGUGUCACGAGUCACCCACUGUCCCAAAACACUCCAGUUUGGAUGUUUUGGUAGUAAACACAAGAUAACACCCCUACACAAUUGUCGCCGGAUAAUUGUGCGAAUUCGGGUUCCCGAAAGUGUCUAUUUCGACACCGGAACCCACCGUCGCUCACCCAUCAUCACCGAACCCACAAAGUGAUGAUGGUGACCAGCCAACAAGGCUUAGCGACCACUCACAGAGUAACCAAACGACGUCGGAAGAAAUUCGAACCGAAACCGCGUUCUUUCGGCGAAUUUCGCCGAAAAACGCGCCGGAAUCGACUUUUCGAUUUCCGCGAAAGCUACAAGAUCAUGGACAACCAGUCCAGAGGUCAAACACACUCAUACACACUGCCCACAGUAGCCACAAGGUGCACAAUUGCACAAAAGCCCCUAUAUUUACAUAAAAUCCCAACAUUUUAUGUAAAUCGGACGAUAACAUGGCUCGUUCACGCAAACCGAGGACUUCCAAGGUCUACAGAGACACGUACUGACAGGUCUCGAUGUACUGGAGGCUGUGCUCAUGAUCUGGAGCACAAUGGCUCACUGUGGGAAGCUCGGGAGCAACCUGAAGUUCUGCGAACAGCGCGCAGUCGGGGAAGAUCGCGCCAAAUAGGGCUCACCGGACACUGUUGAUCCAAAGUGAGGUGAGCACUGUGAUCAGUACUGACCAACGAUCACCGUGCUCACCUCCGGAGGCAUCAGGACAGCCUCGGAUCGCCGGAUAAGCGUGCGCAAACCCAAAACAGCAGCCAAACAGGCUCGAUAGGGUCGACAAUGCCGAAACAGCUGAACGGAGUCUCCCCGACAGAAUCUAAGGUGAGCACGAUGAUCAGUAAUUUGCUACGAUCAUCGUGCUCCCUUCCGCAGAGAUCGGGGAGGCUCGGGAAGCUCAGAACACAAAACAUCUAAAAUAGGCCCUAUUUCGGCUUGGCCGGAGCAAGGUUGCUCCGGCCGGCUUCCGGCAGCACGGCGGCAUGCGCGGCGGCCAGGGACGGGUGCGGGGGAGGUGAGGAGUACCGUGCUCACCUCGGUUGGCGGCUGGAAGCGGCGGAGGCGGCGGCGGAACAAGGCAUGCCCGCACGAGCUAGGGCACGGGUCCGGGGGGUGCUGCGGCCACGGCGGCGGCCGGGGCAGGUCGGGGAUGUCCGGGGGUGCGCGUCGGAGGUCUCCGGAGGUGUCUGGAGGGCGGUACUGCCGGCAGGGAGCGGCGGAGGCGCGCGGAGGCAGAGAUCUCCCAAGCUCGGCCCGCUCCGGGUCUGGGCGGCUGCGGCGAGCCCAGGCGGCACCACAGCCAACAUGGGCGGCGGGGAACGGCGGCGACGGCGCCGGAGGUCGAGGGGAAGGCGGCGCGCCCGGCCCAGGGCGGCGGCGGCGCACGGAGGCAGUGCGGGUCCAAGCUUGGCCCGCACGCGCUCCAGAUGGCCGCAGAGAGAUCCGGCGGUGGCCGGCGGCGCGCGGGGACGGCCGAUGACGGCACCGGAGGGGAAGCCUCGGCCAAUAAUAUAGGCUCAAUCCAGGGGUGACUUCCCGAAGUCAAGAGGCCGCGGAGGGUGGAGAAGGUGGUGAUGGAGAUGAUGGAGGAAAGGAAAGUGGAGCUUUUCCGGUGGCCGGGGUUGCUCGCCGGCGGCAGGGGUGCGCGCAUGGCAAGGGCAUAGAGGUGCUGAUGACGGUUAGGGUUAACUAGGGGUGCAAGUCGGCUAGAUCUAGGGUUUCAUGCUAAGGAAUCCUAGUGCAACCUUAUAUACAACCUGCAACUUUGCAGAGAAGUCCCCCAAAGAUAAUUGUUAUCAUCUAAGUCCCAGACAGUGCAUGUGUUUUGCAUGUACGCACCUCCAUGCUCGAUCUCGCGCGAUUCGGUACAUAAAAUAAUACGACUUUUGCGAAUUUCCCGAUUUUCCACUCUCGACCCCUUAGCGAACUUAUUGCAAUUCCCAAAGAUCCGUCCAUCAGAUUUCUGAUCGGAUCACGCCAACGCGUUCAGCACGUCGAGGCAUCGAAUCUAGCAUUUCGUUUCGUCCGAUUUGAUCUCCGAUUCACGACGAAAUCCAUUCUCUUUCCAAAAGGCCACAAUGACGCACAAUUACACAAGAAACAUGUAUUUUCAGAUUUUCUCGAAAUCCGUGCGUCAAAACCAAAAUCCGUCAGCGACAUUAGUUCCAGAAUAGCUGCAUCCUUCGAAACGAGCUAUUGGACUGCUAUGAACGGAGUCCGAUACGCACCAGAAGCCAACUCUACUCCGUGGCUUCUCCGGAAAACCGGAGUUACUAUUCACUUAAGUGAAAACUANCUCUCACCCAUCUCCAGAUCACUUGUACAAAGCACGAGGAGUUUUAAAAUGCACGAAUAGCAAAGAGCGGAAACCCUCUUUUUGUUAAAACUCCUUUUUCUCGAAAACCGUGCCUCAGAUCCAAAAUCCGUCAGUGCCAGUGAUUCCAGAAUAGCUGAACCGUUCGAAACGAGCUAUUGGAUCGCUAUGAACGGAGUCCGAUACGCGCCGAAAGCCAACUCUACUCCGUGGCUUCUCCGGAAAACCGGAGUUACUAUUCACUUAAGUGAAAACUAAUAAUCGCGUAACUUCUCCAUUUUAGUUCAUUUUCUCCUGAAACUUGACGAGUGCUUAUGUAAUUAAAUUACACAUAUAAACAUCGUCAACAAAGAGUUUAGUUGCACUGUCAAAAUUUCAGUCCUUACAAAAAUUAAAUUUAUAGGCUUAAUUAUAAAUAUCUUGCACUUUACCAACGAUCUCAAAUACCCUUUUAGUUCCGCCGGUUGCUGUUGUGGCUAUCUGCAUAGCGCAAUGUUAGUUUCAGCCGUCAGUUUUAACGGAAUAACUUAUUUGAGACAGUACAUAGAAAUUAAUUGAGAAACCAAAAAAAGUGCUAAGUAGUUUUAAGAAUAAUUGCACAUAUAUCCUUGACAAGUAGGGAUAUUACAUAUUUGCCCAUCUAAAUUUUACAAUAUGUUAGAUAUUCUUGUAAAUUUUAAAAUUUAGAUAUGCUAACGAUCAAUAUCGCAAACUUUCAAUAAGGUUUCACCUUAGUCCUUAAGUUUUAAACUAAAUUUCAUUUAAUUCUUACCUUAGAGUUAGAAUAAUUAUUUACACCAUAUUUAUCUAUACAUUUUUUGACGCCAUUAUUUUGCACUUUAAAUGACCUUAAAAUUAAUUUUUUUUAAAUAAAAAGUAGAAUGUUGCCACUUUAUUUGUUAAGCAAAUAAACUUAGUUACCAAAAAAAGAAGGUAAUCUAGAGCCUCAUGUUGCUAGAAAAAGUAAUGAAAAAAGUGAUUAAUUAAAAAGGAGAAAAACCAAAAAAAAAGUUAAUUGUAUACAGAUGCCUACAAAUAUAGUGAAUGACAAAUAUAUCCCUACAAAGUUCAACUUCAUAUGUUGUUCCUGCAAAAGUCAUGAUAUUUUCAAAUAUAUUUUUGCUGUUAGAAUCCGUUAGAAAAAUUUAGUUAACCAUAAGUUAAAUACUUAAUCCUUGUUAGUUUUUGACAUUUUUAUCUCUUUGUAUUAUACUGUUAUGGUUUUUGGAGGGAUAUAUUUAUGAUGACAAAAUUGAAAUAUAAACAGCUCUCUAACGGUUCUCUAACGAUAAUAAAUCAUAUGGACAUAUUUGAAAACAUUAGAACUUUUGCGGAGACAACAUAUAAAAGUUGAAGUUUGUAGGAAUAAAUUUGUCAUUCACUAUAUUUGUAGGAAUCUUUAUGAAAUUAACCCCCAAAAAAAAAGAAUGGGGAAGCACAAGAAGGUCGUGGCUUUAUAUUUGUCAUUUACUAUAUUUGUAGAAAUCUUUAUGAAAUUAAUCAAAAAAAAAAAGAAUGGGAGAAGCACAAGAAGGUAGAGAAAGCCACAUGACUAAAUACCACAAAUUAUGGUCCUCUUUCUAUCAUAAACUGUGAUAUCAUUUUUCUCAAACCAAAAUACCCACCAUAAGAUCAUUAACUUAACACAAUUCCUAUUUUCCCUUUAAAAGUUUGAGUAUCUUCUAUAAGGCCCUACUAAUUUUAUUGUUCGGAGUGAAUUAUGAAUUACUCAUUAUAAAAAAAAGGAUUGCUGUAUUGCACGCGUAAUUUGAGAAUAAAUGAAUUGUUUUAUCUAUCUCUACUUCUCAUAUAAAUAAAAUUUAUUGCUGAUCUGCAAAUUAUUAUCUUUUCAACAUGUUACUGAUUAUACAGACUAUUUUUUCCAGCAAUCGAACAAAAAUCUUUAUCUUAAUUGAAAUUUUUAAUUUUUAGAUUUGUGGUACGAUAAUAUCUCUAAGACUUCCUGCAACCAAAAACUCGUAACUUUAGACCAUCCCAUUUAAUUAUGUCCUAAGUCGAAAUGAUUCGAAUUUAAAAUUUUAUAAAAUUUAAAUUUUAUAGUUCCGAUUAUAUUUAAAAGUUACAAUCAUUGGUUUGAAAAUUUCAACGUCUGAAACAUCGCGCAGAUAUAAAUACGUCUGGUUACUUCGAUGUAUUAUAGCACCUUGUCAAUUGGUUACAUUUUGGGAAAACUUUAAAUACCACCCGUGUGAUUUCACAUUUUCUCACUUUAGUACUCUAUAAUUUAAAGUGUAUUAAUUUAGUGCUUUGUGUUUUCAUUUUUUAUUUUUUUAUUAUCAAUUCCACUAAUUUUUUUCGUUAAAUCAGUGAUAAAGUUAAAACUAAAAGGUACUAAAGUGAAUAUUCGAUAAAUCUAGAUUGAUAUCUGAAGUUUUUUAUAUAUAAUUUAAUAAAAUAUUAACGAAAAAGCUGACGAAAGGAUAAAAAUAAAAUAACAUGAUACUAAUUUGAUACAGUUUAAAUCAUAAAAUAUUAAAGUUAGAAAAUGCAAAUUUUUUUCUCACCCAACCUUAAAUCCCCCUUUGUUUCUUUCUCUCUCUCUCUCUCUCUCUCUCUCCCCUUCUCUCUCUCACCACAGCCACUAUGCUAAUGCUUCGUUCUCGCUUCAAUCUCCAAACCCUAGCACCACUCCUCACCUCUCCCCGACCCUCCCCCUCCUCCUCUCUCCCCUUCCUCCUCCACCGCCGCCGCCGCCGCAACCUCUCCUUCUCCGCCCUCCGCCCCGACCCUUCCGCCCCCUACGCAGCAGCAGCAGCAGCAGCAGCAGCAACAGCAGCAGCGCCACCCAAAUCGAAGGGGCCGCCGCCGCCGGCGGGGGUGGUGAGGACGGCGCUCUUCGUGCCCCCGGGGGUGCCGCGCGACGCGGGCGCGGCGGAGAUGGUGGUGCUCCCGGGGUCGAACAUCGUGGUGGGGCCGUACGCGGGCGACGCGCGGAUCCGCGAGGUGGAGUUCGCGAAGAGCAGUCCCCGCGCCCGCGACUGCCCGAGGGACGAUCGCCCCGAGUUCGCCGUCAUCGGCCGCUCCAACGUCGGCAAAUCCUCUCUCAUCAACGCCCUCGUCCGCAAGAAGGACGUCGCCCUCACCUCCAAGAAGCCCGGUUGAUCUCUCUCUCUCUCUCUCUCUCUCUCUCUCUCUCUCUCUCGAAACUCUAAUCUCUACCCUCUUUCAGAAUUGUUGCAGUAUUAGCUAAAUUAUGAGUUAAAAAAAGGUAUUGAGAGACCCUAUCAACUGUAGGCUAUUUUGACCCUGCAAAAUGAAUUCUUUCUUAAUUCGAGUCAUUUUAAUAAGUAAAGUUCAAUUUGACAUUCAGUCAGAAAGGGCGUCAGAACAGUUGAAUUUGACAGAAUAAUCGUCGUGUUUAACCAAAUCUCCAAUGUUAUUGAUGGAAAUAACUUAAUUUGAGAGAUUCAGAAAUCGAGAGGGGGUCAAGCAAACGAAAAGGAGAUGAAGGGUUUGUGAGUUCCUAUACAUUUUUACCUAAGUUUUGCGAUGUUGUCUUACUGAGCUUGGUUUUUUGUACGAUAUCUCUGAUUGUUCGGUUAGGCACGUGUAUGUUCAUAAGCAAUCAAGAUUAUGAUUCUAGCAUAAUUUGUUAAUUUAAUGCACAAUUUUGGUUCAUCAUUCACAACGGUUAACUUUUUUCAUAUAUCUUUUGAAAUUUGACUGAAAUCAAAUGCAGGGUGAUAUUGCAAAAGCUUAAGUACUAUUAGGACUAUCAAAUGUAAAUAAAAAUUUAGGGACCAAAAUCACAAUAAGUCAAAUGUUUACUUUAGGGACUUCUUAGUUCUUAUUACACACUAGAAACAAUGUCUGCAAAUAUUACUGAAGUUUAUUCUACUUUUGCUACCUUCAAUUACAUUUUCUUCUAUGCUAUUUUGGAAACAGGGAAAACACAACUUAUAAAUCAUUUUUUGAUCAACAAAAGUUGGUACAUUGUGGAUCUGCCGGGUUACGGGUACGUUUUACUCUCAAACAUCUUACAUGCAUAUCAACUGUUUGUUAAAUGGUUUCUUGAACGUUUAUUUCUUAAGCUUAUACUUGUUGAUAAUAGCUGAUUAUGAAAUUCAAGGGCUACAGAAACUUACACAGUUACACUUAAAUUGAAGAGGAACAGUUGGUGGAGCUAUAUCUGGUUAUAAGGAUUUCAACAGUAAUAACUCUUUUGUUUUGAUGUUUAUUUGGAAAGGAACAUAGGAGAGUUAUGUGUAAGUUUAGGUUGGUUAACUGUCAUGUUUGAACACUUCAUACAGUUAGGGUAGUGAAAAUUAUGUGGAUGACUGGUGGUGAAAUCCAAGCAUAUUGAAUUAUUGGUUGACCUUAAGCAUUCAAACAUAGAGUCAAAAAUAAUGAUGUAAAUAAUUGAUAUUAGAUUUAAAUAAA